rnacentral:rRNA from 1 species
AGUGAACGCUGGCGGUAGGCCUAACACAUGCAAGUCGAACGGCAGCACAGUAAGAGCUUGCUCUUACGGGUGGCGAGUGGCGGACGGGUGAGGAAUACAUCGGAAUCUACUUUUUCGUGGGGGAUAGCGUAGGGAAACUUACGCUAAUACCGCAUACGACCUACGGGUGAAAGCAGGGGAUCUUCGGACCUUGCGCGAUUGAAUGAGCCGAUGUCGGAUUAGCUAGUUGGCGGGGUAAAGGCCCACCAAGGCGACGAUCCGUAGCUGGUCUGAGAGGAUGAUCAGCCACACUGGAACUGAGACACGGUCCAGACUCCUACGGGAGGCAGCAGUGGGGAAUAUUGGACAAUGGGCGCAAGCCUGAUCCAGCCAUACCGCGUGGGUGAAGAAGGCCUUCGGGUUGUAAAGCCCUUUUGUUGGGAAGGAAAAGCAGCAGGUUAAUACCCCGCUGUUCUGACGGUACCCAAAGAAUAAGCACCGGCUAACUUCGUG